rnacentral:rRNA from 1 species
CGCACGGGUGCGUAACGCGUGGGAAUCUGCCCUCUGGUACGGAAUAACUCAGGGAAACUUGAGCUAAUACCGUAUAAUGACUUCGGUCCAAAGAUUUAUCGCCUGAGGAUGAGCCCGCGUAGGAUUAGCUUGUUGGUGAGGUAAAAGCUCACCAAGGCGACGAUCCUUAGCUGGUCUGAGAGGAUGAUCAGCCACACUGGGACUGAGACACGGCCCAG